rnacentral:misc_RNA from 1 species
AAGAUAUUUCAUCCAUGAGGAAACAAUACACCUUUGCUUAUACAACAUAUCAGCUAAAUGAAUUGGAGGAUCCAAGACCCAGUCAACCGGAAGGGAACCUACCCUAGCACACGUUGCCACCCAAUCUGCAUGCAAGUUAGCAGAUCUUGGGGCAUAAGAAACAAAGAAUUAUACAUAGUAUAGUUUAACACAUAAGCUCUAAUCUCAUGAAUGACAGCUUCAAGCUCCCAAGGCACCAAAUCCUGAAGAGAAUUCAAGCAAUGGAUCAAGAUAAGAGAAUCAUAUGAAAACCUUUGUUGAUAGUAAAACGAAUAGCUACUAAAACUACCAACCCUUCAGCAGCUAGAGAAGAAGCACUGAGGCACUUGUAAAAACAUUCAUCCAGCAAAGAUCCAGAAGAGUUU